AACAUGUUGAGGAAAAAUUCUAAGCAAGCCCUUGUACCUUUCCCAUGCUUCAUACAACGACUCUCCAACCCACUGUUGAAAAUUAGCAAUCUUCUUCUUGAGCU